rnacentral:rRNA from 1 species
AACGUAGGUGGCGAGCGUUAUCCGGAUUUACUGGGCGUAAAGCGCUUGUAGGUGGUUUUGUAAGUUGGGCGUGAAAUCUCCGGGCUUAACUUGGAGAGGCCGUCCAAUACUGCGAGGCUAGAGGUUAUUCGAGGAAAGUGGAAUCCUGGUGUAGUAGUGAAAUGCGUAGAUAUCAGGAGGAACACCCGUGGCGAAGGCGGA